ensembl:lncRNA
CUCCUAUCCCCAGCACCCAGGGAACUGUGGCCUCCUCACCAGGGAAGGGAGGUGGCCCUCAGACCCCCCGGGAUCCUACGGGCAGUUCCCUGGGCUGGAUCUGCGGUGCCCAGAGCCAAGACCCUCCCCGAGUCCACCGCCAUUUCCCGUCCAAGAGAACACCAGGGGGGUCCCCAGAUGGCUGCCCGGGAGGAGCCCUGCUGUGCGGGCAGCCACGGAUGAUGGGUGACGUUGGACACCUUGACAUCCAGCCGGGGACCCUGCUGGCUGAGCUCUGGCCGCCUGGCACCCUGGCCUCGCCAGCCUUCAGCAAGCCCCCCCAGGGAGGAAAGAAGGGCAGAGGCAUCUGGAGGACUCCCCACGGUCUCCCUGCCACAGCUGGACGGGGUGCCCCC